UUACGACGUGUUCAUAUAUCGAUUUGUAGUGCUGUAAUGUGCAAAUUAGCGGACUUUAUAGCGGCUCUCUAUUUUCCGUCGUUGUCUUUCGAGCAGCGCCUGUUGUUCCGGUAAAAAUCGAGUUGAAUGAAUCGCCACAGCCAACGUAUAUCGCGCAGUGUUGACCAAGUCCAGCAGGAAUUCUGGCAUGGUAUGUGGCUGCACGGAGAAUUCCGAAAAAGAAAAACAACAUGGCUAAUAGGAUGUUGCUGCCCAGGGAGUCCUGGCCGAAGAGGUGAGCUGUUAAGAUCCAUCAUAAGGUUCUGUUGUGAAGUUUAUUCAUUCCAGAAGCAAGAAUUGUACAAUUGUAAGGCGAAUGGAAAUAAACUGACAUCGACUGAGAUAGGUGUUCCGUCUUGGCCAGUGACUGUAGGAUGGCUCCAAAAGCGUCACAACAAAGCCAAUAUUCAUCUAGCUCUCUACAAGUAGCUAACUCCACAUAGUAGCCUGCUUCACAGCAACAUCAACACUACCUUGUGGGAGUACACAUUACACAAUAUGUUGCAUUGUGCUGUGGUAUGAUAACAUACCGUUUGUCUCGCAAUAUGUGUAUAUAAAUAUGAUAAGGGCCCUAAGGGCACAGUGCAUGCCUUAUACCCUGCUGAAUAUAUAUCCAUACCUGGCUGCGACAUUGCAUAUCAAUGCAGGUUACAAAUACACAUUUUCACAUUUGGCCGUUAUGAGACAUCUUCGGCCGUAAUGAGACUGCCUUCGGCCGUGUUGAGACUUU